rnacentral:rRNA from 1 species
UACGGAGGAUGCAAGCGUUAUCCGGAAUGAUUGGGCGUAAAGCGUCCGCAGGUGGCAAUGUAAGUCUGCUGUUAAAGAGUCUAGCUCAACUAGAUAAAAGCAGUGGAAACUACAUAGCUAGAGUACUUUCGGGGCAGAGGGAAUUCCUGGUGUAGCGGUGAAUUGCGUAGAGAUCAGGAAGAACACCAGUGGCGAAGGCGCUCUGCUAGGCCGUAACUGACACUGAGGGACGAAAGCUAGGGGAGCGAAUGGG